AGUCAAUAGAUACCCCGGUAGUCCCAGCUGUAAACGAUGCGCGUUAGGUGUAUCGGUGACCACGAGUUACCGAGGUGCCGAAAGGGAAAAACCGUGAAACGUGCCGCCUGGGAAGUACGGUCGCAAGGCUGAAACUUAAAGGGAUUGGCGGGGGAACACCACAACGGGGUGGAGCCUGCGGUUUAAUUGGACUCAACGCCGGGCAGCUCACCGGGUAAGACAGCGGAAUGAUGGUCGGGCUGAAGACUCUACUUGACCAGCUGAGAGGAGGUGCAUGGCCGUCGUCAGUUCGUACUGUGAAAGCAUCCUGUUAAGUCAGGCAACGAGCGAGACCCACGCCAACAGUUGCCAGCAUGUCCUCCGGGAUGAUGGGGACACUGUUGGGACCGCCUCUGCUAAAGAGGAGGAAGGAAUGGGCUACGGUAGGUCAGCAUGCCCCGAAUUACCCGGGCUACACGCGGGCUACAAUGGGCAGGACAAUGGGUAUCGACACCGAAAGGUGAAGGCAAUCUCCUAAACCUGUCCUUAGUUCGGAUUGUGGGCUGCAACUCGCCC
rnacentral:rRNA from 1 species